AGUUAACGUAGCAAAGCUAGGAAUUGCUAAAGACCUAAACCCUUUCUACAGAGGUUCAAAUCCUCUCGUUAACU
rnacentral:tRNA from 1 species